UACAGAGGUCUCAAGCGUUGUUCGGAUUCAUUGGGCGUAAGGGUGCGUAGGCGGCGCGGUAAGUCGGGUGUGAAAUCUCGGAGCUUAACUCCGAAACUGCAUUCGAUACUGCCGUGCUUGAGGACUGGAGAGGAGACUGGAAUUUACGGUGUAGCGGUGAAAUGCGUAGAUAUUGGGAGGAACGACCGGUGGCGAAGGCGGCCCCCUGGACCGGUACUGACGCUGAGGCGCGAAAGCGUGGGUAGCAAACGGG
rnacentral:rRNA from 1 species